GACGAACGCUGGCGGCGUGCUUAACACAUGCAAGUCGAGCGGUAAGGCCCUUUCGGGGGUACACGAGCGGCGAACGGGUGAGUAACACGUGGGUGACCUGCCCUCAGCUCUGGGAUAAGCCUGGGAAACUGGGUCUAAUACCGGAUAUGACUCCAUGACGCAUGUUGGUGGGGUGGAAAGCCUUGUGCGGCUGAGGAUGGGCCCGCGGCCUAUCAGCUUGUUGGUGGGGUGAGGCCUACCAAGGCGACGACGGGUAGCCGGCCUGAGAGGGCGACCGGCCACACUGGGACUGAGACACGGCCCAGACUCCUACGGGAGGCAGCAGUGGGGAAUCUUGCGCAAUGGGCGAAAGCCUGACGCAGCGACGCCGCGUGAGGGA
rnacentral:rRNA from 1 species